UACGUAGGGUGCAAGCGUUGUCCGGAAUUAUUGGGCGUAAAGAGCUCGUAGGCGGUUUUUCGCGUCUGCUGUGAAAACCCGAGGCUCAACCUCGGGCCUGCAGUGGGUACGGGCAGACUAGAGUGCGGUAGGGGAGAUUGGAAUUCCUGGUGUAGCGGUGGAAUGCGCAGAUAUCAGGAGGAACACCGAUGGCGAAGGCAGAUCUCUGGGCCGUAACUGACGCUGAGGAGCGAAAGCAUGGGGAGCGAACAGG
rnacentral:rRNA from 1 species